rnacentral:misc_RNA from 1 species
AGAUAGCAGAGAAAGAUCAUUAUCUGAAUAUAGAAGUGUUUGGUCCCUUGCUUUAUAUGAAAAUGUCAGGAAAAUAUUUAAUAUUGUGUAUUUCAUUAGUUUUUAAAUUGGUAGAGACUAGUCAUUUUAGAGGUGGAACAAUCAGCUGGAAACCCACAGGAAAUGGAAAUGAGGUACGUUUUUCCUUUAAACUAGGAUGGGCAUAUGGAAGAGGUCCGGGCUGUACCCCGAGUAACGUUGGACAGCUUGUAACUGGUCACAAUUCAUCGUACUGGCAAUGCACUAGUGGUUGUAAUGGGACUGUAAAUCUUGCAAACACCAACUAUAUAUGUACAGGGGCAAGUGUAAGCGAUAACUGGGAACAAGGAGAAAAUACCUUUACGUACACAUUUUCUGGAAUAGGGCCAUACACUGUUGAAUUCACCGGUGGCGCCUGGGUGUCGUUAGAUUUUGGAAGUGCGGGAAGUUGGUCCGUGGGAGCUAUAGUUUAUUUAGGAAAUCGUAGUGAUACUCAUUACAGGAACAGAAGUCCAGUCACAACGGGGAAACCAAUGUAUACAGUUCAAUAUGGAUGUCAGGCCACGAUACGUAUUCCUGUUGUUGAUGACGACGGAGACACCGUUAGGUGUCGCUGGUCGACAGGGUCAGAGUGCGUCUCUAUCUGUAAUGCACUACCGUCAGCGACGAUUGAUAGUAAUACCUGCACAAUAUCAUUUCCCGCAAAUCACACAUCAAAUGGGAUAUAUGCAGUCGCAGUUUCUGUAGAGGACUAUCCAAAGUCCACCAUGACUAUUGAAACCCAGGUUUAUACCACAAGUACUAAAAUGUCGACAGUUAAUUUACAGUUUUUAGUACAAACACCAAAUGUAUCAGGAAAUUGUAACGACAAGCCUCGUUUUAUAAGUCCAACUCCAGUACAAGGUUCAACCAUUCAAACAACCACUUUGCAGAUCUUCCGUCUCUCAUUUUACGUCACUAGUACCAGAAGUAUUACAAAGAUAGAUAUUACCUCACCUGCUGGGAUGACUUAUACUUCACUUCAAUCUGUUCCUUCUCAACCUGGGAGUGUGUUUGUCGCUACAUCAUGGACGCCACAGGAAAACCAAAUAGGAAUCCACAUUGUUUGCGCUUUGGCAGAGGACUCCAUAAGGAAAACAAGUGAUUCACGAUGCAUCAAUGUAAAUGUUAAUGAUGGAGGUCCUUGUUUGAGUGGGCCUUGUCGGAGCAAUGGAACGUGUGUUCGAAAUGGUCUGACUCAGAACUACACGUGUACAUGUGUCCCCGGAUUCACGGGCCGAUUUUGUGAAAUAGAAAUUAUUGAAUGUACAAGUCAACCUUGUCAAAAUAACGGGACGUGUCUUGACCUGAUCAACAAAUUUGAAUGCCAGUGUGUGCCUGGAUAUACCGGAAGUCAAUGUGAAACUGAUAUAAAUGAAUGUUCAAGUCUACCUUGUCAGAAUGGCGGGACGUGUCUUGACCAGAUCAAUAGAUUUGAAUGCCAGUGUGUAGCUGGAUAUACCGGAACCCAGUGUGAAAUUGAUAUUGACGAAUGUCUAAGCGGACCUUGUCAAAAUGGCGGGACAUGCCUUGACCUAAUUAACAGAUUUGAAUGUCAGUGUGUAGCUGGAUAUACCGGAAGUCAAUGUGAAACUGACAUAAAUGAAUGUUCAAGUGGACCUUGUCAAAAUAACGGGACGUGUCUUGACCUGAUCAACAGAUUGGAAUGUCAGUGUGUAGCUGGAUAUACCGGAAAUCAAUGUGAAAUUGAUAUAAAUGAAUGUUCAAGUGGACCUUGUCGAAAUGGCGGGACGUGCCUUGACCUGAUUAACAGAUUUGAAUGUCAGUGUGUGCCCGGAUAUACCGGAAGUCAAUGUGAAACUGAUGUAAAUGAAUGUUCAAGUGGACCAUGUCAGCAUAACGGGACGUGCCUUGACCUUAUUAACAGAUUUGAAUGUCAGUGUGUGCUUGGAUAUACCGGAAGUCGAUGUGAAAGUGAUAUAAAUGAAUGUUCCAGUGGACCUUGUCAGAAUGGCGGGACGUGCCUUGACCAGAUUAACAAUUUUGAAUGUCUGUGUGUAACCGGAUAUACCGGACAUCAAUGUGAAACUGACAUAAAUGAAUGUUCCAGUGGACCUUGUCAGAAUGGAGGGACGUGCCUUGACCUGAUUAACAGAUUUGAAUGUCAGUGUGUAGCUGGAUAUACUGGAACUGAAUGUGAAAUUGGUAUUAAUGAAUGUACAAGUGGACCUUGUCAGAAUGGUGGGACGUGCCUUGACCUGAUUAACAUGUUUGAAUGUCAGUGUGUUCCCGGAUUUACCGGAAAUCAAUGUGAAAUUGAUAUUAAUGAAUGUACAAGUGGACCUUGUCAUAAUGGCGGAACCUGCCUUGACCUGAUUAAUAGAUUUAAAUGUCAGUGUGUGCUUGGAUAUACCGGUACUCAAUGUGAAAUUGAUAUAAAUGAGUGCGAUCCCAGUCCAUGCAUAUUUCUGUUUGAUUGUGAAAAUCGCAUAAAUGGACACCAGUGUAACCUGAUAGAGUGGAAGCUGGCUUUGAUUAUUUUAAGUUUUGUUAUGCUGAGUCUGAUUGCCAUAUGCGGUUUUACCUAUAUUUUCAAGAGAAAAAAAUACAAAAAUAUGAAAGACAACUGGUUGGCGAAUUUUGUUGGUAUUGAUCAAGCUGAUGUGCAACCGAGAGUUCUCUUUACCAGAAAAUUCAAGUCAGGGGGUUUUAAACAUAUAACAGAAGAAUGAAAAUUCAUUUUUAACUAAUACAGGAAUAUAUGAAUAUAAAGCUAAACUAAUGCAUAAUUAUCUUACAGUGUCAUACGUUAAGUCUAUUUCCUAGUGCUGCUUAUGGUCAGUUCAAGCAUAUCCUUUAAAACAUACACCACAGCAUCUCAUAGCAUAGCAUUGAAAUCUCAUUUCAAUUUCUCAUAGCAUAGCAAACAAAUCUCUCAGUGUUGCAUAGAAAUCUCAUAGAAUAUCAUUAAAAUCGCAUACCAUUGCAUGACAUUAAAUUGUAAAAGAUAUGCAUGAAAUGACUGUAUGUACAUCAGCAAUUAUCAGAUAAUGGUAUUUUGUUUGUGACUAUUUUUUAAAAAUUUUUAUUGGGUUGUUUACUCUUUGUCAUUACAUAACAAAUGUCGGAUGGGAGCCUGUUAAGAAACAGAGAGUAGACAGUAGAGAAACAAAAGCGUAGUAAGGAUAUGACUUACAUGUAGGAGUUUAUGGAACAAAGAGUGUAUGUUUAGUUGGGACGUUAGUAUCAGGAUAAUAGAGUUGAUUUUACUGUGAGAAAAGAGUAGUUCAUUGUUAAGAUUUAAGUUUUUUGUUUUCUGAUUUUUUUGUGUCACAUUAAGUUCAAUGUGAGCGUUUGUCUGCAUGUACGAGUAUGUGUUUAAAUGUGUUGUGUGUGGAGUGUGGAUUUUUUCGUAUUAGUAUGGUAGGUUAUUAAUGUAUAACUUAAUUUUCGUGUAAUACAUUUAUUGUGUUGUAUUGUUGAUUUACAAUUAUCUAUGGAGUUUUCAUUCAGAAAAGGAAUUAGUUAAAGAAACGCUUGCCAUAAGAUUAUUAAGCUCAAUGAAUAAAAAUUGAAUUC